GAUGAAGAACGUAGCGAAAUGCGAUAAGUAAUGCGAAUUGCAGAAUCCGUGAGUCAUCGAAUCUUUGAACGCACAUUGCGCCCUCUGGUAUUCCGGGGGGCAUGCCUGUUCGAGCGUCAUUACAACCCUCAAGCUCAGCUUGGUGUUGGGCCCCGCCGCCCCGGCGGGCCCUAAAGUCAGUGGCGGUGCCGUCCGGCUCCGAGCGUAGUAAUUCUUCUCGCUCUGGAGGUCCGGUCGUGUGCUCGCCAGCAACCCCCAAUUUUUUUCAGGUUGACCUCGGAUCAGGUAGGGAUACCCGCUGAACUUAAGCAUAUCAAUAAGCGGAGGA
rnacentral:misc_RNA from 1 species